AUGGGCAUCCUCUGCUUCGGCGCCUCCUCCACCCUGCUCUGCGGCGAGGACAGCAACAGCGCCCUCGGCCUGGGCGUCUGCGGCGGCGGCGGCGAGGUGGCGGGGGCGGGCGGCGGCCUGGGCUUCCUGGACGUCGGCGCCGUCUUCCCGGUCGACAGCGACGAGAUCAUGCGGGCGCUGGUGGAGAAGGAGAUGGAUCAUCGGCCCAAGGGCGGCUACGUGGAGCGGCUGGGGCACGGCGGAUUCGAGUCCUCCUGGAGGAAGGACGCCAUGGAUUGGAUUUGCAAGGUCCAUUCCCACUACAAUUUUGGACCACUGACCCUUUGCCUCUCGGUGAACUACAUGGAUAGGUUCCUCUCCUCCUUUGAUCUCCCACAUGACAAGUCUUGGAUGCAACAGUUGAUGUCAGUUGCUUGCCUAUCCCUUGCUGUCAAGAUGGAGGAGACCGUGGCCCCUCUUCCUGUGGACCUUCAGGUUUGCGAUGAGUACUAUGCAUUUGAACCAAGGAAUAUCAAGAGGAUGGAGCUCGUUGUGAUGGAGACCCUGAAAUGGAGGAUGCACUCUGUGACCCCAUUCUCUUUCCUGUGCUACUUCUUGGACAAGUUCAAUGAAGGGAAGCCACCCAGUUACAUGCUGGUCUCACGGUGUGCCGAGCUCAUAGUCGCCACUGUGAAAGACUAUAGAUUCUUAUCAUUCAGACCUUCUGAGAUCGCUGCCGCAGUGGUUCUAUGGGUGCUUGCUGAGAACCAGGUCAUCAGCUUCAGCAGUGCCCUUGCAGCAUCUGAAAUCCCUGUAAAUAAGGAGAUGAUUGCGGGAUGCUAUGCGCUGUUGGUGAAGAAGAGAGGGAACUUCAGCGCGAGCCUUUCAGCGCCGCUGAGCCCGAUCGGGGUGCUGGAUGUGCCAUGCUUCAGCUUCAGGAAUGAUGACACAACACCAGGGUCAUCACCCUCGAACAACAACAGUAGCAGCAACGAUCAGGCCUCCACUCCAGCUUCCAAGAGGAGAAGGCUAAGCGCAUCGCCGAUCUGA
rnacentral:rRNA from 1 species